rnacentral:rRNA from 1 species
CUUCCGUAGGUGAACCUGCGGAAGGAUCAUUAAUUAUGUUAAAGCGCCUUACCUUAGGGUUUCCUCUGGGGUAAGUGAUUGCUUCUACACUGUGAAAAUUUGGCUGAGAGACUCAGACUGGUCAUGGGUAGACCUAUCUGGGGUUUGAUCGAUGCCACUCCUGGUUUCAGGAGUACCCUUCAUAAUAAACCUAGAAAUUCAGUAUUAUAAAGUUUAAUAAAAAACAACUUUUAACAAUGGAUCUCUUGGUUCUCGCAUCGAUGAAGAACGUAGCAAAGUGCGAUAACUAGUGUGAAUUGCAUAUUCAGUGAAUCAUCGAGUCUUUGAACGCAGCUUGCACUCUAUGGUUUUUCUAUAGAGUACGCCUGCUUCAGUAUCAUCACAAACCCACACAUAACAUUUGUUUAUGUGGUGAUGGGUCGCAUCGCUGUUUUAUUACAGUGAGCACCUAAAAUGUGUGUGAUUUUCUGUCUGGCUUGCUAGGCAGGAAUAUUACGCUGGUCUCAGGAUCUUUUUUUUUGGUUCGCCCAGGAAGUAAAGUACAAGAGUAUAAUCCAGUAACUUUCAAACUAUGAUCUGAAGUCAGGUGGGAUUACCCGCUGAACUUAAGCAUAUCAAUAAGCGGAGGAA